ACAAUAACUAAAGCAUAGAAGGAAGGCUAAAAUAAGAAUUCAGAAACUAUAAACCGGCUCUCUUCUAGCUUACGACACAAACUAUGAGUGAGAAAAGGACAAAUGAUUCGCUCUUUGCUUCAUUUUUUCCGAGGUUGUCACAACAUGAAAUGUCAUUUGGACCUAUUGGACUCAUUUUAACUCGGCCAAAUACAUAGUAACAUACAUAAGAAGAUUUUACUUAUAUUUACCGAACUAUUUGACACGGUCGCGUCAACUGUGUUUACGAGUGUCUUGUGUUCAGAUUGUUUUAAGUGAUAAUUUAACAAUAUUUUUCCAAAUAAAUGGAAAGAAACUUUUAUUUAUAUCAAAUAAUUGAGUGUCUCGACUGUGUGACAUUAUGUCUUGUGUGGUAUGGGGCUGCAGCUCACAUUCAGGAAGAAAAGAAAAUAGCCAACAACUUCUGUCGUUUCAUCGAUAUUAAAUCCAAAAGUGUCGACUGGAUUUACAUGAAAAGUCAGUUCAAGAAGACGAGAUGAAAAAUUUAAAAGAAAAGCUGAACAAGUCCCGCCUCAAGAUCAAACGACUUAAUGAAAAAAAAAAACAAUGUGACAGGGUGUCACAAAGACAGUUUCUAAGCAAAUUGACACUGUUUAGAAAUUAAUAAAUUUGUAUUUAUUGUAAAUAUAAUGUACAUAAUUAAUAACGUGUGAAAUAAA